CAAAAUAAUUUCUAAUUCUCUGUGAGCACUAAUAAAUAAUGUAUUCUUCCUUUUUCUCCAGGGGAAGUAUAAAGUUGAGUUAAUGGCCAGAUGGAAAUAAAGCUAGAAGUUCUCUCAAAUAUCGGAUACUGAAGAUGUAUUUUUUUAACAGCCAAUUUUCCAUCUUGUAUGUUUUUUAAAUAUUAGUAAUGUAACAGUACUAUACAUCAGUGAAAAGAAUAAAAUAUCACUGCACACACCAAUUUGGAUGCAUCUCAGAAGAUAUUAUUAAGUGAAAAAAUCAAGUUGCAGAAGAAUUCAGACAGUGAUUCCAUUUAUAUCAACUCAGAACAUUCGAAACUAAAUCACCCACUGUGUGAGAAUAUCAACAUGUGUGUCAAAGCACGGUAAGGAUAAUUCAAGAUUCAGGGUGGUGGUUCCUUCUAAGAGCAGUAUGACAUCAUGGAGUGAUACAUAGAGGCCCUUAAAAGUGUCCCAAACACUCCAUAUUCCUUAUUUUGAGUGGUGGGCACAUGGUGAUCAGUUUUAUUGUAAAUCACUCUACCUUAUGCACAUAUUGUAAUUAAAUUUUUGUAUCCAUUCAGUGUUUAAUAAAAACAGCUAAAACUAAGUUGAGAACAUGCAUAUCUGUGUAGAGUAAAAUUUUCUCCCCUAUUGUAUGGUGUUUCCAUGUUCUUUCUCUAUUUCUUAACAGACUUUCAUGUUUAAGUAAACAGAUAUUUCAUGAGAAACAUGAAACAGAACCUUGUACUUUGGGAGUCCUUCAUAAAAAACAAAACAGCAUCAACAACACAAGCCAUGGAUAGGCUAUUCACUGCUAAAG
ensembl:lncRNA